GAAGUACAGUGGUACAAUCUUAGCUCCCUACAACCUCUGGCUCCUGAGGUCAAGUUAUUCUCCCACGUCAGCAUCCAGAGUAACUGGGACCACAGGUGAGUGCCACUGCACCCG